UACGAGGGGGGCGAGCGUUGUUCGGAAUUAUUGGGCGUAAAGGGUGCGUAGGCGGUUUGGUAAGUCUUGUGUGAAAUCUACAGGCUCAACUUGUAGUCUGCACGAGAAACUGCCGGGCUUGAGUGUGGGAGAGGUGAGUGGAAUUCCUGGUGUAGCGGUGAAAUGCGUAGAUAUCAGGAGGAACACCUGUGGCGAAAGCGGCUCACUGGACCAUAACUGACGCUGAGGCGCGAAAGCUAGGGGAGCAAACAGG
rnacentral:rRNA from 1 species